CAAAGGCACAAGUGAUGACUUGUCUCUGCAUGUGGGAUUCCUCAGCCCAGCCGAAGCGGUGAGGUGUGCAGCAGAAGGCAGGUUGUGCAAGCUGGAAAUUCUGGUUGGGCUCCUCUAGCACACCCUCUGGACUUGGUAAACUUCGACAUGCCUUUGCCCCAGAUGGAGAUAAAACAGAAUGUUCAAGCUUAGGCCUGAUUGAGGGAAGGAGGCUACUGACCAAAGAGAAAGGGUCUCAAAAAGAAAAGAAAAAGAGAGAGAGAGAGAGAGCCCAAGCCCUUGUGCACACCAGGAACCAGCCCUACAUGUCAGUUCCUGCUUGCACAGAGUCUCAAUGUGAACCGGAGCAAGAAAUCCAAGAUGGCGUUCUCUUCAGGUUUCCACAGUUUUGUUUGGGUCCUAUAUCUCCAUCCUCACUACCCACAGCACUUGUCAUAGGAACCUCAGCAUCCAGUUUAUGGGCUGGUGUCCCACUGUAAGUGUCAGAGGGAAUGAACAUCACUGGAGACCCCUGCAGUAAGUCCCAGACUCCUGUGAACCACCACGGACAGAACUAAGCUUAUAGUGAAGCUGAGUCUUGGGUCCUGGUCAAUGCCGCUCCAGGUAACAAAGACAAAAGCCCCCAAGCACACCCAGUACUUAUUGAAUGCAAUUGUGAGAAGGAAUAGGGAGCCAGGGAGCGUUGAAAUCAUCUAGUGAAUUACUGCCAGGGAGUUGGCACUGUUUAUCUUGCUAGGACAGAAGGAACCAGUACUGGGACCAGGCGCAAUUAUCAAGAAACCCACAAGGUCAGUGAGAAGCAAUAAUUCAGAGGAGAAUUUUAAUUGGGGUCACGCUGACCUCAGCUGCAUGUAAUUCAGCAGGACCCUGCCACUUCACAGGACUUAAGACUCAGUGACAGCCAUUAGCAAAGCAGCAGUACUAGCCCAACUCUGCUAGCUGACAUGCCCGUUUGAGUCACACAGGGCUUCAGUCUGACUCCUGAUAUAAAACAGUAUCGCUGAAUCAGGGAAAGCAAGAAGCAUGUGCCACUCAUAGCCCUCUAGUACUGGGCAGGAUGUCUCAUACAUCCCACUGGCUUCAAGGUCGGCAUCAAUUACCAGCCUCCCACCGUGGUGUGUGGUGCUGGUGGAGACCUGGCCAAGGUGCAGCGGGCUGCGUGCAUGUGAGCAACACCACAGCCAUUGCUGAGGCCUGGCCUCUCCUGGACCACAAGUUCGAUCUGAUGUUUGUACCUUUGUUCACUGGUACGUGGGUGAGGGGAUGGAGGAAAAGGAGUUUUCUGGGGCCUAUACAACAUGCUGCCCUAGCUGACG